AGUCAGUCGAGCUUCAACGCCUAGCGGGAUCUGUAGGGGCAGGGUCGACCUAGGAGCCGCUCCCCUGGGGCGAGGGGUUUUUGACUCUGCCCAAAGCGCCUCCGGUUUUUCAGCAGCUGAAAUUCACUGCACACAAAAACAAAACAAAAAAGGCUCCUCCCCACAGGCGGUUGUUUAGUUUGGGGGCUUUCUGCUUUCCUGUAGGUUGGAUGGUGGCCUUCAGAUUAGUACAUCAAUUGAGCUGCAAAAUAUAAGGGGUGAGAAAGAGCCAGAGCUGGACCCCCAGAGGGAUUUAGGUGCCUAACUGCCAUUUUAAACAUCUGCAUCCAAAAUUUAGAUCCUCAAAACCCAUGCUCUGGUGCCACCGAAUCUUAAAGGUGCCUUAAUUCCCUAGUCGCCUACAUUUAUACCAGUAAAGGCCCCCUAGUGCAUGUAUUUCUCCUGGUGGGCAUACGCACCACUGGCUCCAUCCUGUUCUGAAUGCCCAGCUCACAGUUUCAGCCACUGAUGUUGUUGCAUCAAAACCAACCCAUGUUGAGGAUGAACCAAGCUACACCUAUAGAACUUAUACUGGUUGCAAGCAGGGAUAAACUGCACCAAAGAAGGAACCAAAUCCUGCCAGGGACAAAGCACCUUAAAUUGCCAUUGAAAUCCAUGGGUGUUGAAGGUGCUUAGCAUCUUGCUGGAGGCGCUCACCAACAUGCAAAUUCAGGCCCUUUUUCCUUGGAGAAUGAUCCUCUCCUACAGCAAUAACUGCUUCAGUUAUAUACUUUUGAUUUUCUUUUAGAUGGUCUUUAGUCUCUUCUGUUGUGUUUCAUUCUAAACAUUCAGGGAGAGUCUGCCUCCUCUUUUUUGCGAAUAACAUUGUCAAUGUCUUGUUAUAUUUGUGCAUUAUUAGAGGUGGAACCUAGCAAAGUGCAUCUCGAGUUCUGUAAUUUUUACUUAGCGCUUCUAAUGUUUACUUUCACCUUCUUGUAGUUGCUGUGUUUUAUAAUCAAUAGAAAGAAUUCCCUGGGUAGGGUAUUGCCUUUUGUUUACCUUCUUUAAGAAUAUCUGAUUUUUCUUCUAUUAAAUUUACAGUGUCUGCCAUUAAAAUGUUGCUAAAAGAAC